UACAUGUGGGGCAAGCGUUGUUCGGAAUUACUGGGCAUAAAGGGUGCGUAGGCGGUUUGUUAAGUCACUGGUGAAAGUUUUCGGCCCAACCGGAAAAUUGCCUGUGAUACUGGCGAACUUGAGUGCGUGAGGGGUGGGGGGAACGAGCAGUGUAGCGGUGAAAUGCGUAGAUGUUGCUCGGAAGGCCGGAGCCGAAGGGGCCCCACUGGUACGUAACUGACGCUGAGGCACGAAAGCGUGGGGAGCAAACAGG
rnacentral:rRNA from 1 species